GGGUGGAAAGACUUCCUGGUCUUGACAUCACCUGCAUUGGCCACCAGGGCUGCUCAGCUGACCGGGCUAACUAGGCGGUCAGCCACUUCCUUCUCCACUCCAUGUGCACCCCUCCUGGAGCUGCCUGCUGGGUGGAAGAAGAUGACCUGUCCCUAAUCAAGAAGGACCUAUCUCGGGUCAAGGGUACAGGAGUAGUUGCACUCCCCUGCUAGGAGCCGAAGUUCAUGCUUUGUGUCUCUAGUGUUAGAAUCGAUGCAGGCAGGGGCGAUCCCUGAAAAAAAAAAUGUUAAGUGAAAGGUUACUGUGAACCAGAAGGUUUCCUUCCUCU
rfam:Mesocricetus auratus contig018926, whole genome shotgun sequence.